GCGACUGUAGUGCAAUGGUUAAGUGCUCAACUGCUAAUUGAAAGGUCAGUGGUUCAAACCCACUAGCCGCU
rnacentral:tRNA from 1 species